rnacentral:tRNA from 1 species
UGGGGCGUAGCCAAGCGGUAAGGCAACGGGUUUUGGUCCCGUCAUGCGUAGGUUCGAAUCCUGCCGCCCCAG